AGCCUACAUGAUAUCACCCAUAAACUUUUAGAACAGCAGCUUUGCACCUGUCUUCUUACUUUCAGUACGUACUACAGCUGAUCUUGCAAAGUUUACACUGACGUUUAAAUGGGUCGAACUGCUUUGUCAUUAUAUUGUGCCUUAAAAUUUACUGCAAAAUGUUAUGUGUCGAAUGUGACCUACAUUACUGUUAAAAAGUUUGGGGUCACCCAGACAAUUUCAUGUGUUCCAUAUACUUUACAUUGACAUUAACAAUGUCUCGACUGGAUUCAUGAUCAACUUAAUGCUACCUUCAUUGAAAAAAAUGCUUUUCUUUCAAAAAUACAGACAUUUCUAAGUGACCCCAAACUUCUGAAUGGUAGUGUAUAUGAAUUAAAGUUGCUCUAUAUUAAAUAAGUUGUUCCAUAUCAUUUAAAGUGUCAUGGACAGCGUGUGACCUACCCCAUUCCUGGUUGGCUCAUCGGCGUUUGCUCCUCCCUCUCUGCUUGGCAGCUGUGGCAACCCACACCUGUGGCUGAUCACAAUCACCUUGGGCUUAAAAGGAAGCGCCACACAUCGUGCACUGUGGGAUUAUACUGGUUGUGCAGUGGGAGUACCGCAGGUUCUGAGAAGACCUCCAGAUAGAGGUCCUGGACCCCGACCUAAGUCCAGAGUCAGCUCUGGCCUCCAGACAGAGGAUGUGCCUCCCCCUCUUCGCUCUUAAACAGGAGGUGGCAGUGCUGGCGGUUGGCGAUGUGAUUCCAGCGUCUUGUAAUUGGACAACAUAGUGGAGCUGUGAUGCAAAUGUCACCCUGAGGCCCAAUGGCAGAGUUCAGCAGCACGGUCAAUCUGGGUCGGAGCCAACCAUGUUCCAGACUGGUCCAGUGUGCCAGUCCAUCACCAACAAGGAGACAAACUGAAACACCCACAUGUCUGUGGGAUGUCUGGACCCAGAGGGGACCACCGAUUCCUGGAGGGCCUCUAAGAGGAGAUAAGUGGGUGGUGGUGAUAUCAAAGCACAACAAAAAUGCAGUUUUGGGGGGAUUUCUGUGUUUGCAGUUCAAAUUCUAACAAAAAUGCACUAGAAUUGAAGGAAGUUCUCUUUGCAUCAGUAUGAAAACACACCAUUAUGCAUUGGAAAGUCCUGGAGCUGUAAAGGAAGCCACAAUCAAAGCAUCGAGUUGUUUGAUUCUUUCUAACUUUGGCCUGAACAUUAGGGUGAAGCCCUGUCGUCUCCUCCUGCGUCAUCCAGCCAUGUUUGCUGAGGUUCCCAUCUGAGAUGAGGAGACUUUUCUCUUCCUGACGUUCUUCCCCCGCAUAGACAUUUCUGUCGCCAGGUUAAUUUCCCACUACAAGACGGACGACAAACACACACAACCUCCAGCAACCCUCCUGAAAGUGGAGAAGGGUGUGCACCUUCCGGAGAUGAAAGGAGAGACGAGAGAGGGAUGCUGGGACCUCGAAGGUCAGACAGAAAUCACCAGAACCCUCUUCCAUCUAAAGAGGACUUUGUUGCAAUAUUCAGCGAUGAGUAAAGAUGAGAUGCUGUCAUCCUCCUUGAAAAGAUACAGCAUAUUUACCCAUUUAUCAGAAGCACACACACGGUUUAGCGUACACAGAUUGUACAAGUAUGUGCGUCUGACAGAUAACAAUAUCAGCUCUUGUCUGGGGCUUGUAUAUUGCACCUGAUGUUCUUUGUCAUCUAGUCAAAGAAAAAUAUCGGUUGUGUGCUUUACCCACUCUGCUAGUGUAAUAGAAUUUCCAAGAUAAUAGCAUUUGUGGGAAAAUGGAGACCUUAUCUUCCUUUCCAAACUCAAAUGAAUGAACGUGGCAGGGAUGAUGUCAUCGCUAAUGUGAUAAGCCAAAACAGUUGUCUUAAUACUGCGAAACCUGUGACGGCAUACGGUGACUCAGACCGAGUGAAACCGAAAGAAGUCACGAUUGUAGAGAAAGUAAAAACACAUGUUGUUCUCGUUCUCUGGUUAGUGUAACUGUGUUCUACAGUGUGCAUUGCAGAAUAUGUGCAUUCUGUUGACUUGUACUUUAACCUGUGUGAAUUAUUGAUGAUUACCAGAACUAUUUUCUGUGAUGUGCUGAGUUCAAACCACACAGGAUUCAGUAUUGUGUGGUCAGAUCAUAAUCCACAUGAACACACUUUCUGGUAAACAAUUCAUAAAACAUUUUGUCACUCACCUGGAAGAGAUAUUUAUGUACACAUAACACAAACACACACAAAUAUAUAUACAUACAUACAUAGAGGCA